GAUGAACGCUGGCGGCGUGCCUAAUACAUGCAAGUCGAGCGAACAGACGAGGAGCUUGCUCCUCUGACGUUAGCGGCGGACGGGUGAGUAACACGUGGAUAACCUACCUAUAAGACUGGGAUAACUUCGGGAAACCGGAGCUAAUACCGGAUAAUAUAUUGAACCGCAUGGUUCAAUAGUGAAAGACGGUUUUGCUGUCACUUAUAGAUGGAUCCGCGCCGCAUUAGCUAGUUGGUAAGGUAACGGCUUACCAAGGCAACGAUGCGUAGCCGACCUGAGAGGGUGAUGGGCCACCCUUGAGCUGAGAAGCCUUCCACACUCCUACGGGAGGCAGCAGUUGCGCAUCUUCCGCAAUGGGCGAAAGCCUGACGGAGCCACGCCGCGUGAGUGAUGAAGGUCUUCUGAUCGUAAAACUCUGUUAUUAGGUAAGAACAAAUGUGUAAGUAACGAUGCGCGUCUUGACGGUACCUAAUCAGAAAGCCACGGCUAACUACGG
rnacentral:rRNA from 1 species